rnacentral:RNase_P_RNA from 1 species
UCAGAAGGAAGCUCACCACUGAGAUCACUUGCUGAGUGCUGGUCACUCCCUUCUCUCUGCCUCUGGGAAGGUCUGAGACAAGAGCCAGCAGCUGCCCUUGCAAGGCACCCCCUGCUGCAGGGGAAUGAGGUACAGGGAGGCUGGGCCCCGUCUAGGGAGAGACACAAGAAGUCUGAGAGGAGGUUAUUCUCCCUUGACUGAUGCCCAUGCCCUGUGCAGGGUCUUGAGACAGGCUCAUGGCUGGCACCCUUGAGUCCAAUGGGAUGAGGUGAGGCUUGCUCCCCACAUGCAGGACUCACAACCCAAUUCAGACUACUCUCCCUCUGA